GCUGGGCGUGGUGGCCUGCGCCUGUAGUCCCAGCUACUUGGGAGGCUGAAGUGGGAGGAUCGCUUGAGUCUGGGCAGUCGAGGCUGCAGUGAGCCAUGAUCGAGCCACUGCACUCUAGUCUGGGCAACAGAGUGAGACCCUGUCUCAA
rnacentral:SRP_RNA from 1 species